rnacentral:lncRNA from 1 species
AAUACAUUAAUCAUUAAGAACAAAAUUGUAUUUUGUUGCAACAUAUUUAUUGUUGCCAAUACAUGACUUAUUUUCGACCGCACCCGCCAGCCCGACCUUUGGACUACCGACCCGCAUCUGCCGACCCGACCUUUGGACCGCCAACCCGCGCGCAUUUGCGGACCCGACCUUUAGGCCGCCAAACCGUUUCAGAGUCGGAAUUGUUGGGUUAAACUCAUGAUUAGCCCAAGAACAAAAUUGUAUUUUGUUGCAACAUAUUUAUUGUUGCCAAUACAUGACUUAUUUUCGACCGCACCCGCCAGCCCGACCUUUGGACUACCGACCCGACCU